rnacentral:tRNA from 1 species
GGUCGUGGCUCAGUGGUAGAGUGCUUGCCUGACAUGUGUGAGACACAGGGUUCGAUUCUCAGCACCA